UGAUUAGGGUAUUGGGUAAUAAUUGGUCAUAACCUCCAAUAUUUGGCAGUAAUACAAACAAAAAACAGCUUUACCUUAAAGAUAUUCCGAAAUGAAAAUCUUCUUCAAGUCUGGUACACUCCCAGCAUAGAACUGGACUCCAUUCAACGUCCAAAAAGUUAGCUUCUCGGGCAUUCUCAUUCAAAAACUCAGCAGACAACGACUUCUCAGCACUCAUCAUCGAACAACUCCGCUGCAAAGUCUCCUGCUGACUAAAAUAAUCCUCAUCUAUAUAAGCCUGCAGGUUUUCCAGUGAUCUCUUUGAAUUAGACCUCUUUAUCUUGAAUUCAUUCAAGUUAUUUUUAUUCUCUGAAGCUCUAAACUCUCCACGAGUAAAUUUUCUUGUAUCUGGUAGUUGAUUAACAUUUGUAUUGUUUGUAGUUUUAUGGAAAAACUCAAAAUCUCCAUUGGCUUCAGUCGUGAUAGAAAACGAAGAAGAUGAACUGUCAUAAUCCUGAUAUUCAUCAUCUUCAUCAUCAGAAUGUUGUCCAGGCUUCAACUGCAGCCUUUCCUGUGAUGAUUUACUCUCAGUGGUUAACUCAUUCAAAGAUUCAUAACUUUUAGAGCGGAUUUUCGUUGCUUCUUCAUUACCUAAAGGUAUCUGACGUAGAGAAUUCUGACUUAAGCUCACAUGCUUAAGAUAAGGCUUUAAUAAUCCAUGAUUAUGCUGUGUGGGUUGCUGUAGAUGUUGAUGCGGUAGUUGGUAAUGAUUCUGAUGUAAUAAUUCGUUGUUCAUCGAAGAAUUAGACGAAGAAGGCAGAGAUUUAACAUUAACACUAGGAAAUGAAUAGUUUUGACAGAAAUUGUUAUUUACUAAACGAUUCUCUUUCAAUUCCUGCAUUCUAGGUCUUGAUUGCAAAUUAGCAGAGUGUAAAUUUAAGUUUAUAGCGUUAAUUCCAACUGUUGUGUUGUUUCGUUGAUCAUUAUGAUGUCUUCUGUAGUUAUGUAUGACAGGAACACGUCCAUCGAUACUUGUAUAUAAAGAACCAUUCGUAAUCGGGAAUUUAUGAGCUGUUUCAGUCGUGGAAUUCAUCGAAUUUAUGUUUAGGUUGUUUAUAUUAUUAGAAUUUGUUGUUGUGGUUGUUGGGUAACAUCUCAGGGGAUGCAUCUGGUUGAUUUCAAGACUCUGUGGUUGAGAGGUUGAAAAAUGGCGGAAUUUUCCAUCUAAACCCACUAAAAACACCAAAUAUUAAUAAAUAUUUAUUAAAAAUGCAAAUAAUCUUACUAUGAGGGAGUUUUCCUUCAAUGUGUCGCUUCUCUGUGCAUCUGUAGACCCGUGACACCCAAUUAUUGAAUCUUGAAUCAACAAUCCCCAAGGAAAUCGGUAUUAAAAGAUCUUGUAGUAAACCUAACCACAAAAUCACGCUACUGAUCGGCCAUGGAGUGAUUAAACUUGGGAAUAUACACAAUGCCUGUGAAAUAAUAAAAUAAUGAUGAAUAUAAACACUUAAAAUGUUAUUCAAUCAUAUUGUGAGUUAAAUUCAUGUUUAAAAUUGAAAAUGGAUGAUGAGAACGUUUAAUUUCGUAAUGUUGUAAUGAUGAAAUGAAAUGGCAUGAAACGCAAAACAAACGAAAGUGAUCUCAUUGUUACUCAUUACGUUAUAACAUUUUUUACGUUCACAUGAAUUCACAGUGUAUAAAAAUAAAGAAUACAAACGAAAUUUCGACAAAAACAAUAAAAUUAUACAUUGUAACUAUAGAAUUUGAUAAAUAAUUAUUAUAUAUUAGAAACGUAUUAAUAUUAAUGUGUUAUUAAAUGGUUUACAACACAUUUUAAACGUUUUUUGUUAAUUUUCACUUUCGAUUGCUUACGAUAUGAAUUAAAUGAGAAUUUAAACUG